UACGGGGGGAGCAAGCGUUGUUCGGAUUUACUGGGCGUAAAGGGCGCGUAGGCGGCGUGACAAGUCACUUGUGAAAUCUCCGGGCUUAACUCGGAGCGGCCAAGUGAUACUGUCGUGCUAGAGUGCGGAAGGGGCUACUGGAAUUCUCGGUGUAGCGGUGAAAUGCGUAGAUAUCAGGAGGAACACCGGUGGCGAAGGCGGGUCUCUGGGCAACAACUGACGCUGAGGAGCGAAAGCGUGGGGAGCGAACAGG
rnacentral:rRNA from 1 species